GGAAAUAAUUUCUUGGGGGCUCUGGAGCCUAAGCUUGGGUCUGUUGUAUUUUCAACAAACCACAGGUAGAAUUUGGAAGGACUCUUACAAGAGUCCUGAUUUCUGCUUCUUAGAGUUUUGCUAGAUUCCUUUUUUCAACCUCUGCAGUGGAAGGGAGCCUAAUAUCUCUAAAGGACUUUGGGAUCUCAGAAUUGGAAGAAAAAGACAAAGUACAUUUCUAUACCAGACACAGUACAAAAUGCAAAUGAGGUACUUGAGAAGCAUCAGGUAAGUUAAAAGAACUGGCCACUCUGGGGAUUUUCUGGGCCCAAUAGUAUUCAUCUAUUUAGGGGCUUGGGAUCAGACAAAUUCAGACCAGAGCUAUAGUCUCUGGAGCUUCAAUACCUGAAGAGCAUAAUUAAUCACCCAUUCCUUGGAGAUAAGCAGUGGGGUCAUGGAGAUGACACUGUGGGACUUGGGAGGAAGAAUGGGAUAAGGACAGGCAGUUACUAAUUCUGGGUUAAUUAGGGCCUUGAUUCAGUAUUGAUGGUGUAUGGGGGCUAUGACAAUGGUGAAUAAAAAACUCCAAAAUUGAUAUUUAUUUUGCACCCAUUAAAUCCCAAGCCUGUAGUGAUAGUGUUACAUCAACUGUCUCACCUGGUCUUUCUAAAACACACACACAGAUACAAAUUGAUGACUCCGGGGUAUGUAUUAUUAUAGUGUAUUUUUAACUAAUUAUUAGGAAAAUAACACAACAGACAUCUUAACACACACACACAUAACAAAAAUUACAAAGAAGUAUCCAAAUAACCUCUAAUCAAGUUGAACAUAUGUGAAUAUUACCAAUUCUCCAAAUGACUUCUGUGUACUCCUUUCCAACAGUACCCAUUUUCACAUUCCAGGAG
rnacentral:lncRNA from 1 species